rnacentral:tRNA from 1 species
GGAAGGGUACUCAAGUUGGUGAAGAGGUCAGUUUGCUAAACUGAUAGUACCUAUUACAGGUAGCAAGGGUUCGAACCCCUUUCCUUCCA